UGUAGUGGCCAACUUGUCAUGAAACUGCCUGCUGUCAUUACUUUUGUCGUUCAACCGUCUUCAAUUGAAUUCCUUGAAUCGUGGAACGUGGUAGGACUACCCAAUGACUGCUUUAUUAACUGCACCAUAACAUCUUACGUUUGCUAAGAUGUUGGGCGAUUUGAAUGUUUGGACGAGAGCGGGGUCAUAGCUCUGGGCGAC
rnacentral:lncRNA from 1 species